UACGGGGGGGGUAAGCGUUGUUCGGAAUUACUGGGCGUAAAGAGCUCGUAGGCGGUUUGUUGCGUCGGCUGUGAAAUCCCGAGGCUCAACCUCGGGUCUGCAGUCGAUACGAGCAAACUAGAGUGUUGCAGGGGAGACUGGAAUUCCUGGUGUAGCGGUGAAAUGCGCAGAUAUCAGGAGGAACACCGGUGGCGAAGGCGGGUCUCUGGGCAACAACUGACGCUGAGGAGCGAAAGCGUGGGGAGCGAACAGG
rnacentral:rRNA from 1 species